rnacentral:rRNA from 1 species
AUUGAACGCUGGCGGCAGGCCUAACACAUGCAAGUCGAGCGGUAGCACAGGGAGCUUGCUCCUGGGUGACGAGCGGCGGACGGGUGAGUAAUGUCUGGGAAACUGCCUGAUGGAGGGGGAUAACUACUGGAAACGGUAGCUAAUACCGCAUAACGUCGCAAGACCAAAGAGGGGGACCUUCGGGCCUCUUGCCAUCAGAUGUGCCCAGAUGGGAUUAGCUAGUAGGUGGGGUAACGGCUCACCUAGGCGACGAUCCCUAGCUGGUCUGAGAGGAUGACCAGCCACACUGGAACUGAGACACGGUCCAGACUCCUACGGGAGGCAGCAGUGGGGAAUAUUGCACAAUGGGCGCAAGCCUGAUGCAGCCAUGCCGCGUGUAUGAAGAAGGCCUUCGGGUUGUAAAGUACUUUCAGCGGGGAGGAAGGUGUUGAGGUUAAUAACCUCAGCAAUUGACGUUACCCGCAGAAGAAGCACCGGCUAACUCCGUGCCAGCAGCCGCAGUAACAC